rnacentral:rRNA from 16 species
AUUAAGCCAUGCAUGUCUAAGUAUAAGCAAUUUAUACAGUGAAACUGCGAAUGGCUCAUUAAAUCAGUUAUCGUUUAUUUGAUAGUUCCUUUACUACAUGGUAUAACUGUGGUAAUUCUAGAGCUAAUACAUGCUUAAAAUCUCGACCCUUUGGAAGAGAUGUAUUUAUUAGAUAAAAAAUCAAUGUCUUCGGACUCUUUGAUGAUUCAUAAUAACUUUUCGAAUCGCAUGGCCUUGUGCUGGCGAUGGUUCAUUCAAAUUUCUGCCCUAUCAACUUUCGAUGGUAGGAUAGUGGCCUACCAUGGUUUCAACGGGUAACGGGGAAUAAGGGUUCGAUUCCGGAGAGGGAGCCUGAGAAACGGCUACCACAUCCAAGGAAGGCAGCAGGNN